GAGGGUAGGCCCUUCGGCAUCGGCAUGCAGGUGCUGGUGUCAAACCGCCACGAGUUGCUGUGGUGAAUGAGCCAUGGUGGUGAACGUCCGUGGAAAAGCCAUCGCGAGAGGCGGCAGGU
rfam:Frankia symbiont of Datisca glomerata, complete genome.